GCUAAUUAAAACCUUAUUGGGCUGAUUCGUAAUCAGUAGGUCGCGGGUUCGAAUCCCGCCAUUGGCU
rnacentral:tRNA from 1 species